UACAGGGGUCCCGAGCGUUGUUCGGAUUCAUUGGGCGUAAAGGGUGCGUAGGCGGCGGGGUUAGUUUGAUGUGAAAUCCCGGGGCUCAACCCUGGAAUUGCAUUGAAUACUACCUUGCUAGAGUACCGGAGAGGAAACUGGAAUUUACGGUGUAGCAGUGAAAUGCGUAGAGAUCGUAAGGAAGACCAGUGGCGAAGGCGAGUUUCUGGACGGUAACUGACGCUGAGGCACGAAGGCCAGGGGAGCAAACGGG
rnacentral:rRNA from 1 species